rnacentral:rRNA from 1 species
UACGAAGGGGGCUAGCGUUGUUCGGAAUUACUGGGCGUAAAGCGUGCGCAGGCGGCUUCUCAAGUCAGGUGUGAAAGCCCAGAGCUCAACUCUGGAAUUGCCUUUGAGACUGAGUGGCUUGAGUACGAGAGAGGUGAGUGGAAUUCCCAGUGUAGAGGUGAAAUUCGUAGAUAUUGGGAAGAACACCAGUGGCGAAGGCGGCUUACUGGACCGGUUCUGACGCUGAGGCGCGAAAGCGUGGGGAGCAAACAGG